rnacentral:misc_RNA from 1 species
AUCCUACUUCUGGAUCUGCCUUAGAAACUAACAAGCAAGAAUUAAACUGAAAUCAAUAAAAAUUGAUUAUGUGAUAGGAAACUCCAAAUUUUCAUGCCUUUCAUGUCUUCUUGCCGCUUUCUCUAGGUCAUGAUACCCCAAGAGCUCAGCAUCAAUGCCUACUUGGAAAUAAAGCUGUCUAUGAGGCGUUGCGCUGCGGCUCUCUAGAGAUGGGGAUAAAUUGCAGACAAAGAUCAACCAACUCAAGCACAGGAGAUCUCGCCAUUUCCAACAAGAAACAAAGAUUGGGCAUCUUGCUGGUGCACAUAAACUGGAAGUUCUAAUUCGAUUAAUAAAAUUAGGGAUGGGAGUGAGACAGAGAGAGUGAGAGACGAGACGACGAGCGAAAUAGAGCGUGGGAGGCAGAGAGGAUGGGAGUGCGAGGCACCGUGAAUGAUCGUAAGAGCUUAAUUUCAAUGAUAG